GAUACAUAGCGUUUGAUAGACGUGAAGCGUCACAUCUUUCUUUUUUGAUAAGCCUAGCCGCUGUUAUACAAUCAAAAUCACUAAAUCCAAAUCACCGAUGAAGAAAUAACAAUUCGGAGUUUACCAGAGAAUGACGGUUGUGUCCUGUGUGGAGGACUAUUGGCACACAGCAAUAUUUAUAUUCCUCCUUUUUGUGUUGGCCGCUUUCGUGAGAGGCGCCCUGAGGGCGGCCCUGAUCUAACACCAGGUUCUUCAGAAUGAAACAUUUUGAAGGGAAAACGAAUCAUGGCUUGCCGAAACACGAAAAGCGGGUAUAGUCUGCCAACUAUAGCAGACUACUUUUCGAAAAACUUCAACAGUAUAUUGUUUCUCGUAGUUACCUUCAGCAUAUUAUAUUAUGUGAAGAUAGUGAUCUGCAGACAGCUUGUAAUUUCAAGAAGGUUGUCAUUGCGAUAAAGAAACAUUACAUCAUGGAACUAGAGGGCAUAGUCCUGGGCUUGAUCAUUUACGUCCUUCUUGUUGGAAUAUUGAUAAUAAUCAAUGAGGCUUUCUGCAAAACCGCAUGCCUGAGUAAUGCACGAAUGACGCUCGAAAACUACAACAGGCAAGCUGACGAUGAUACUGACAUAGAAAUACCGAUGAAAGACAGGGCGCACAAUAUCAUCACACGACCCCCGCACCGUCAAGGCAAAGGCGAUAACAAUUUGGUAUACUAUUAAACUUUUAGUCCCACUACUCGACGUUAGAUGACGUAGUGUCCAUUUUGAAUGUCAAUUACAAUAAAACUGUUGUAAUUUAGCAAAAUUAUGUAUUCUUAAUU